AGAGUUCGAUCCUUACUUAAGAUGAAUGCUGGUGGCAUGCUUAACACAUGCAAGUCAAAUGAGAAGUGAUGUUUCCAAUGGUGGAUGGGUGAGUAACACGUAAGAAUCUGCCCUUGGGAGGGAAACAACAACUGAAAACAAUUGCUAAUAUCCCAUAGGCUGAGGAAAAAGAGGAAUCAUCCGAGAAGGAGUUUGCAUCUGAUUAGCUAGUUGGUGAGGCAAUAGCUUACCAAGGUGAUGAUUAAUAGCUGGUCCAAGAGAAUGAUCAAACACAUUAGAACUAAGACAUGACCCAGACUCCUAUGGGAGGCAUUAGUAGAGAAUUUUUUGCAAUGGAUGGAAGCCUGACGGAGCAAUGCCAUAUGGAGGUAGAAGGCCCAUGGAUCGUGAACUUUUUUUCUUGGAGAAGAAGCAAUGACAGUAUUUGAGAAAUAAGCAUCAACUAACUCUAUGCUUGUAGACAUGGUAAGAUAGAAGAUGCAAGUGUUAUCUGGAAUGAUUGUGCGUAAAGCAUUUGUAAGUGGCUUUUCAAGUCCACCGUCAAAUCCCAAGGCUCAACACUAGACAGAUGAUGGAAACUACCAAGCUAGAGUAUGGUAGGGGCACAAAAAAAUUUCGGUGGAGCGGUGAAAUGCAUAGAGAUUGGAAAAAACACCAACAACAAAAGUACUAUGCUGGAUCGACACUGAAUUGAGAAAUGAAAGCUAAGGGAGCAAAUGGGAUUAAAUACCCCAAUAGUCCUAGCUGUAAAUGAUGGAUAUUAGGCACUGUGUAUGGAGACCCAUGUAGUGCUGUAGCUAACGUGUUAUCUCAGCUAGGGAGUACAUUCACAAGAAUAAAACUCAAAGAGACUAACAGGGGCCCGCAGAAGCGGUGGAACACGUGGUUUAAUUCGAUGCAAAGAGAAAAACCUUACUGAAGCUUGACAUGCUGUGAAUCCUCCUAAAAGAGAGGGGUGCCUUUGGGAACACAAACACUGAUGGUGCAUGGUUGUUAUCAGCUCGUGCCAUAAGGUGUUGGGUUAAGUCCCACAAUAAGCGUAAUCCUCGUAUUUAGUUACCAUCGUUGAGUUUGGAACCCUGAACAGACUGUCGGUGAUAAGCUGAAGAAAGAUGAAGAUGACAUCAAGUCAUCAUGCCCCGUAUGGCCUAGGCAACACAUAUGCUACAAUGGCCAAGACAAAGGGUCACGAUCCUGUGAAGGUGAGCUAACUUCAAAAAUAUAUCCUCGGUUUGGAUUGUAAGUUGCAAAUUGCCUGCACGAAAUCAAAAUCGCUAGUAAUCGUCAAUAUGGUAGUGAAUUCGUUCCGAGCUUUGCACACACCACCCGUCACACCAUGGAAGCUAGCCAUGCCUGAAAUCAUUACCUUAACUGCAAUGAGGGAGAUGCCAAAGGCGGGACUACUGACUAGAGUGAAGUCGUAAUAAGAUAGCCGUACUACAAAGUGCGACUG
rnacentral:rRNA from 1 species